GUGCCUGUAGCUCAGUUGGCAGAGCACUGGAUUGUGGCUCCAGGUGUCGUGGGUUCAAAUCCCUCCAGGCACCCCA
rnacentral:tRNA from 1 species